UGCAAGUCGAGCGGUAACAGGAAAGAGCUUGCUCUUUUGCUGACGAGCGGCGGACGGGUGAGUAAAGCCUGGGAAAUUGCCCUGAUGUGGGGGAUAACCAUUGGAAACGAUGGCUAAUACCGCAUGACGUCUACGGACCAAAGAGGGGGACCUUCGGGCCUCUCGCGUCAGGAUAUGCCCAGGUGGGAUUAGCUAGUUGGUGGGGUAAGGGCUCACCAAGGCGACGAUCUCUAGCUGGUCUGAGAGGAUGAUCAGCCACACUGGAACUGAGACACGGUCCAGACUCCUACGGGAGGCAGCAGUGGGGAAUAUUGCACAAUGGGCGCAAGCCUGAUGCAGCCAUGCCGCGUGUAUGAAGAAGGCCUUCGGGUUGUAAAGUACUUUCAGCAGUGAGGAAGGGGGWAGUUUUAAYAGAGCUGCCUUUUGACGUUAGCUGCAGAAGAAGCACCGGCUAACUCCGUGCCAGCAGCCGCGGUAAUACGGAGGGUGCGAGCGUUAAUCGGAAUUACUGGGCGUAAAGCGCAUGCAGGUGGUCUUUUAAGUCAGAUGUGAAAGCCCGGGGCUUAACCCCGGAGUUGCAUUUGAAACUGGGAGGCUAGAGUACUGUAGAGGGGGGUAGAAUUUCAGGUGUAGCGGUGAAAUGCGUAGAGAUCUGAAGGAAUACCGGUGGCGAAGGCGGCCCCCUGGACAGAUACUGACACUCAG
rnacentral:rRNA from 1 species